UUUCUGUCGUUGUAGUACAGUAUUAUCCCACCAUUUUCCUCACUGUAAUCUUGCUAUUUAAUGGACGACGUUGCGGCAUCAGACAGACGUCCGCUGACGCACCAAGUCAAUCGUCUCACCGAUGUCGGCAACUCCGGAUGAUGGGAUACGGCAUGUGAUUUGGUCGGCGUCCGGCGUUACACGGAAUCCGAUCGAGAGCUAAUCCCGGAUAAGGAAUACCGUGGCAGACACUAUUAGUACUGUCAUUAUCCAACAAAACUGCCGCAUCCUUGUGUACGUGACAUUUCAGAGAUGAUGAUGAAUGGUUCAGCAUAGUGUAAGGUACUCACGGGAGCAGCUGACCUUUCCACACGUACUUAUAACAUCCAGAAGCAGCCAACGCCUGUUUGAUACACGGUGAAGGCAGAGAGAAUCGAAAGAGAUGAAACGAGGCAGAGCAGAGGCCGGGCUGCCGUCCUCCAAGGCAGCCGCCGAGUCCCCUGCCAAGGCCCAGCGGCGUCAGAAGGGGUCGACGCCCAAGGCAUCGGCUGCGGCGGGGAGGACGAGGCAGGCGGUGAAGCCGGAUCAUGCGCGCAAGGGCAGAGGAAACGACAAGGGCCCGGCUGCUGCUCCGGGGGCCGGCCUGCAGCAGUCUUCUACUGCUCCCGUUGCGCCCGCGGAGGAGGAAGUGGUGGGGUGGGUGGACGGGGCGGCGGAGCUGGGGGAUUGGUGGUGGGGCCUGUGGGGCGUGGAGGAGGACAAGCUCUCCGGCUGGUUCCCGUUUGUGGACGAAGACUUCCUCUGCUCCGAGGCCAGGGGAGGAGAGUUGUCCGGUGGACUGCUCUGGGAAGAAGCUUACCACGACAUCUGGCAGCUGCAACACAUUUACGAAAUCCCGCAGGCGGCAUCCAAUUGACGAAGAGAUUGCAUUCCUUGGCUUAAGCAGAGUUCAUCAUCAUCUUCGUUGCUCUUCACCAAAGCUCCCUCUUCUGCUGGGAAACGGCAUGCUAUUGGAAGUCCACUACGGAAACAACAAGGAAUAGAAGGAAAUCGCGUCGUUGUUCUUCCAAUUAAUCUAUUUUGUGAAACGAAAAUUUAGAGCAAUCAAAGAACUGAGUAUGAACUCUGCCCCUUUUAGGAUUGUGGUCAGUGCUCCCAAUAAUACAUCAAGAUUCGCUCAUGGAAGUCAACCGGGAGAGCGACUAGAUAAGUGCCCCACCAUCCCAUCUUCUAUGAGGGUCAGCGCCCUUCGAGCACCGGAAGAGUGGUGACGUGCGAGAGGACAAAAGCUGGUUAGGAUAGAAACAAACGACAUGAAAUGUAGUGAUUUAGGAUAUGGGAAAACCAGGUGAAGAUCUUCUUCUCCUUCAAGAUUGUUUGAGGUUUAAAGGCAGUGCAGAGCGAGGUGAUUGCAUGUAAAACUAUUGUUUGCUUAGACGUGGAAACCCGUUGGAAUUCUACAUAUUUAAUGUUGGAGGCUGCUUUGAUGUAUCGAACUCGAAGAAGACAAAAGGG